rnacentral:rRNA from 1 species
UACAGAGGUCCCGAGCGUUGUUCGGAUUCACUGGGCGUAAAGGGUGCGUAGGUGGCUUGAAAAGUUUGAUGUGAAAGCUCAGGGCUUAACCCUGAAAUGGCAUUGAAUACUGUCGAGCUGGAGGUUUGGAGGGGGGACUGGAAUUCUUGGUGUAGCAGUGAAAUGCGUAGAUAUCAAGAGGAACACCAGUGGCGAAGGCGAGUCCCUGGACAACACCUGACACUGAGGCACGAAGGCCAGGGGAGCAAACGGG